rnacentral:rRNA from 1 species
GACGAACGCUGGCGGCGUGCUUAACACAUGCAAGUCGAACGAAGUGGCGAACGGGUGAGUAACGCGUAAUCAACCUGCCCUUCAGAGGGGGACAACAGUUGGAAACGACUGCUACUACCGCAUAACGAUGGAGGGGAUUGCGUCUGAUUAGCUGGUUGGAGGGGUAACGGCCCAGCAAGGCGAUAACCGGUAACCGGUCUGAGGGGUUGAGCUGCCCCAUUGGGACUUAGACACCGGCCAUACUCCUUCGGGAGGCAGCAGUGGGGAAUCUUCCGCAAUGGACGAAAGUCUGACGGAGCAAAGCCGAGGGGGUGAUGACGGCCUUCGGGUUGUAAAGCUCUGUUAAUCGGGAAGCGGUACCGGAAUAGAAAGCCACGGCUAACUACGUGCCAGCAGCCGCGGUAAUUC